UACGUCUUUGUAUAGAAUACCUGAAUACAAGCUUGGUGCAUCAGUAGGUCGGCUCCAGAGGCACGUUCUCCUCCAUUUGGGAAGCUUGGUGCAUGGUUGAGACCGGAACAUAUAACUACUUUUUUAAAAAUACAGACACGGACACCGUCAUGUGGGAAAGUUGCCAUGUAAGGACUGCUCAGUUUAUAAAACGGACAACUUGUUUAUGCGAUAUACCUAUUAUAUAAUGCAAUCGUUAUCAGUCUUUUGCAUAGCUUUCAAUAGCUAUUCUACAAUGUAGAAAAAAAUAUAAAUUCAUAGAAAACGUCCUUUAUUGUGUAGGGGUAGGCGGGGCAAUAUGGACACCCUCAAUAUUUUGAAAUAUGCGAACUUUUUUGAACUUUUAAUGAAUGGAGAAUAUAGUCCAUUUGUCUAAAACAUAGCUUCAGGAAAGAAACAUUCGAAAUUAAAAUUAUACUUGAUUUUACACGAAAAAGUUGCGUCCUCCGUUUUUUGUGCAUGGAAAUUAUAAUUUUCACACCAUCUAAAAUAAGAUUUAGUGAUUAAUUUAUUGCAGGUCGAUUAAAACCUGAUAUUUCUAGAACACAUGCAAGUAGUUUUGCUGUAUCUACAUGCUUAACAUGUUUAUAUUUUCUUCUUUAUUAUAUCAAAAAUCAAGUUUGGAAAUAUCUUCUGCUGCUGGGGCAAAAUGGACACUCACCUUUUUGAAAGAAGCGGCAAGGGAAAAAUAUAACCUAAAUCACAAACCAACCAAAUUCUUCGAUUUCAGUAUAUUUUCGGUUAACUGUUCACUAUAGUAGACAUAGGGUGAAACAAAUUGGUCAAAAAACGACAGCAGUGGUAAAUAGUUGUUCUAGGCACAGCUGUACAUGCCAACAAAAACGAAGGUUUAUCCAAAACAGCCUGAAUUUAAAUUAACUGAACAAAAAUGAACUACUUCGGCGUAUUAUUCUGCUAUUCUGCUAUUAUCAACGCAUCCCCUGGCUUUCGCCCAUCUGCGUUGUCUUUUCACUAGGCAAUAGUCUACCAAUUGAUGUUUAUGGGCUUGCCGGACCAAGUCAUGUAGCUAAGCCAAACACCCCACCUACAACUGUUGGGUAGGCACCAUUGUCCCGCCCACUGGUCUUUUACAGCUAGUUGUAGGUGCAUGUGUGCGUGUAAGUAUUGGUGUAUGUGUGUUAGUGUUGGUUUAUUGUAGGCGCCAACUCGUUCUAAUCCACUCUGAUUGCUAACACCCUAUUGAACCAUUACCCUUAAAUCUGGCAAUCUAUGAAAUAGAAUGAGUAAAGCGCCUGUACAUAACAGUCAGUUAAAUCAAACAAGGAAUAUUAUGUCGAAUUCGUUUUUGAACCUGGGUUGGAACUGGACUGGCGGAAAAUGUGUAAACAAACAAACGUCAAACAAAUUCAAACAAACUUUAGUACAAGCGAAACCGAAGUCGGGUUGGGGUUGAAACUGUGAUCUCAUCCAGUUCCAACCCAGGUUGGAACUGAAUCAAAAACGAAUUCGACAUUAGUAUUAAAGCUAAGAUACAACGCAGCAACGCCCCGAAUCUCGAGAGCACAAACCCCAAGAACCAAAUGACAGGCAGCGCCGACAAGUCAAUCAACUGGCCACCACCAGUGAUUAACCAAUCGAGCAAACCCUUCAGCACAAACCGCCAUCAGCUCUCCCGACCUGCGCCCAACAAAUCCGAGGCACAGCCCAGCCAUAGCUUCAUCUUAAAACCAAAAUCUAGAUUGCAGAGCACAAUACUUCCUAAGUAACCGCGCAGCUCGGGCCGCAAAUCCCACACAACACGUCACAAAUAAGCCAAACACCCGUCCGUACAACCGAAACCGAUCUAGGGUAGAGAAGGGUCUCUUUCCACUCCAACCCGGACUCAACUGCACCCAUUGGGUAGCGCACCCCACACACACUGCACUCAUGCAUCCAUCACGACCCGAGCCACAUGGUCACCUGGGUUGCUUCUAUCUGCAUGACCUCACCCAACCCGUAACGCAGAGUUUAAAUCCCUCUCUUGCAUUACAAAGCAGUCCCUCCUCCCAAAGUUUGUGCGUGGAAUAAAUGAAAUUCUAAAGCUGAAGAAAUCGUCACCAACACAACCGUCAACAAUGAGCACGCAAUGGUAUCGGCAGAAUCAAUGACGACCCCCUCAGUCCCAAACCCAAUUAUCCUACACUACCCAAGUAACCAUAAUGCUGAGCCGUAGGAGCCGUACGCACUGCACGUACGAAGUACAUACAGACCUACCCGCACCGCCUAAACAAACCACCUAGGCCGAACACAAGCGAAAAGCGGUACCACCACUGCUGAACCACGACUAUACCAGUAAGUAGGUAUAAUCGCAAUUAAGCAAUCGUAGAUCCAUUCCCCGCUCCUACUCAGCCAUAACGAUCCAUAGCAAUGCUUGUCAAUAUAUGCACCCCACACACGCAACCCCCACAACAUAACAGUAUGGUCACUUGAGUAUCCCUGGGAUUUUGAUUACAUGAUGGUCAGGGAUCACAGCCAUCAAAACGUUCCACACUUUACCAGGGCUUGCGACCUGUAACCAUCAUGAUUUCCGCUAUGAGAAACCAUGAUGGCUAGCGGUGUUAUGAACUACUUCGGCGUAUUAUUCAUCCAUAAUAGUUAUUUUGUAAUGGAAUGACUUUAUAGGUGUAAAUAAUGUACGAAAUUUGUAAAAGUCUCAUGGUGUCCAUAUUGCCCCAUGGGGGUGUCCAUUCUGCCCCGUAUGCUUGAAGACGGUCAUGAAAAACUUACAUUUUUUGAAGUGGAUAAAUCAUUUUUCUUCGUCAGCAUUUUUAUGCAAUAGAUGCUAAAUAGACUUUAAAAGGAUACAUGUAUCAAAAAACUAAACUUUUUUGACAUCUUGCCAGGUAAAGUUGACAAAAACCUUAGGGUGUCCAUAAUGCCCCGCCUACCCCUAAUUAAAGCGGUUUUCGUUAGAUCGCAAUAAAAACGAUUGCUCAAAAUUCUACUUAAUUUUUCUCAUUACUUAAUUUUUACAUUGUCAUAAUAGUUAUUUAUGUAAAUAACACGUUGCAAAAUGAUGAUUUUUACAGCACGAUUUGUACAUUUAUCCAACGAGGCUUGCCGAGUUACAAGUUUCCAUCAAUAUCAUCGUGCUUCGCGGUGGUUGAAUGGCUCCGGCCACGUGCUCUAUCGUGCAAGACACAAAAAUUUGGAUCAAGCAUGCCGUGCUAUAAUCGUUAGAGUUUUUCAAGCUCUAGCCUUGGAAACUGCGGUCAGACUGAGGUUGUCAAUCAAAUAAUUGCAUUAUGAUCCAUAAUGCAAUCGAAAUUAGUUGCAUUAUGAACCAUAAUGCAAUUGUUUGGUAACGUGCGGAAAAAGUAGGCCGUUACCCCACCGAAAUGGCAAGUAUAAAAUAGAAUAUCAAUGUUUUUGCCGAGUUGCAAAAUAGUUAUUUAUGUAACGAGUUGCAAAAAGUUGAUUUUUUCAGUACGAGUCGUACAUUUAUCCAACGAGGCUUGCCGAGUUGGAUAAAUACGAAGAGUGCUGAAAAAAUCGAGUUUUGCAAUGAGUUCCAUACAAAAUUUUAUGCAAUAAUUUUUUCAUAAUGCAACCCAUUUGAGUUGCAUAAUGUUCAUAAUGCAACUCAAAUGAGUUGCAUUAUGAACAUUAUACAACUAUUUUUCAUUAUGCAACUCAUUUUAGUUGCAUAAUGAACCAGUUCGGAAAAAAUGGCCAUUAUAAUACCAAAAUGAGUUAUAUAAAAUAUAAAUUAUGAUACCGAAUUGCAUAAACUUUUUUAUGCAAUUCAGUUGUAUAAUUUCUAUUUUAUACGAUCCAUUUUAGUAUUAUAAUGACCUACUUUUCUGUAUCGGUUCAUUAUGCAACUGAAAUGAGUUGCAAAAUUAAAAAUAGUUGCAUUAUAUUAUUUAUCCAACUCAUUUGAGUAUAAUGAAAAAAAUCAUUGCAUAAACUUUUGCAUGGAAUAAUGUACGUUGGAUAAAUGUACGACUCGCGCUGAGAAAAUCUACUUUUUGCAACUCGUCGCAUAAACAACUAUAAUGUGUUAGAAUCUAAUACUAUUCUACUGUAGGUCUGACCAAGCAUUAUUCAGUUUGAUAUAGCAAAUUGUCUUGUUUUCAAAGCAAAUGAUAAGAAAUGCUUAUUUAAGUCCAGUGAUGCAAUAACACCACGAAUUCAGCUUAAAAUUAACCCAGUGUAGUAGACAAUGACUUUCUAAAUGAUACCGAAGAAAAACAUGCUUUGAAGUACAUUCUUUGUCAUUAAUUUAUUCCUUAAGGACAAACGUCUUGAAAUCCCGGUUCAACAGUGCAUCAAAACUUCAGACGCACAAAUCUCAAAAAGCAAGCUUCAAACAAUAAUGUAUUUUAUAAUUCUGUUCUUGUUCACUCGUAAUAAGCUUAAAAUACGAAGCUCAGGUGCGCUAGUUUUGUUUACGAAGAAACUUGUGCCCUCAAAAUCGUGAGUAGGUGCCAAAGUCGACCAUUGUGGCGGCCAUAUUGGGAUUCUAAUAAGUCUGUCCUUAAUGAUGGCAAUAGUGUAAAAUUGCUUACUUUUUGCUCCAUUAAUGCAAUGUUUCGACUCUAGAAAAGCUUAUUAUUUAUCUCCAACAUGGCUUGAUUCUAUGUGAUUAUAUGGUAAGUGGGUGCAGGAUGGGUCACCUAAGAAAUGGACCCCUAUAACUGUCUGAAUAUAAAUCGCAUUUCUCUGUAUUCUACCACGACUCUCAGAUACACUAGUCAGCUAUGAUAUAAAAGUAUAGAAAGGUCAUAAAGUUUGAAACCUGCUUUUUGACAAGCAAUUUUCAAAUCAUGACCCAUCUUGCCCCACCUCAUUUUUACUGGGGCAAGAUGGGUCAGCUAUCAGAAAACUCGAGUUUUCUCCAACAAAAAAUACUAUAUCUUCUAUUUUUUCUCUAUACAUCUAAGCUUCACAGACGUAAAGAUUACAUGAAAAAAGUGUUGAAACAUAUCGGUAGAUUAUUCUCAGAACUAGAAGAUUUUUGUUCAGGUAGCCAUGAACGGACUUUGAAAACCUAUAUUUUUUGUAGGAAAAUUUCAAAAAUAGUUUCACAAACUCUCAGUGCUCUAAUUGCUUCGAUAAUGUAGGUCACAGAAUAGCCUUUCAAUGAAGAAUAAAACAUGAGCAUGAGCAUGAGCAUAGAUGACCGUACUAUUCGUAGUUGCUACUCCGUGAUUGACCAGAAGAAUCGAAGUUGCACAAGGAACCAACAGACGGAGCUUGGGAAUAGCUUACCGUCCUCAAUGUGCAUCUUCGAGAAUUCCAAACUUUAUUAGGUCAAUAACGGCGCCGGUCACGUCCUUACGGUCAUCGAGGAAGGAAAGGAAUAUUAUUAUUAUGACGUGCGUUGCUUACUAAAGACCGAGAUCACCUCUGCGUCUCCACGUCUGUCAUGGGAAGGACUUUUUAUUAGUGGGGAGGGGAAAGGGCGCAUGAUAUGAGUUCACUUUGGUAAGUGGAGUGAUUCAUGCAACCCUAUUAAUAUCAAACCACUUAUUUUCAUUUGGACUAAAACAAAACACAUGCCGACAUCGAAGAUGACGAACCAUUCAGAUAGUUUUCGAAGUGCGAAAAUUAACGAAAGAGAAAAUAAAGUGAUUUGAACCAACGUGGCUUUGGAACUUGGGCCGACACUUGACGUGACGAACAUUUCAAUGUCUGUUGACUAAAAUCGCAAAAAAUGUUGUUUGUUGCAUUUAUCGUAUCAUAAAUCGCCCCGUACGAAGAUGAGCAGUCAAAUAGACGACGACGACGACGACGUGCACGCGGACGAUCCGAAUGAAAACGCGGCCUGUACACUUUGCCACCAAAAACUCACUCCCUUUCAAUGAAGAAUAAAACAUUUUCAAAAACUAUGCAAACAUACCGAAAAAUUAUGGUGACCCAUCUUGCCCCGUCUACACAAUACACGUAGUUAUAUGGAAUGUAUAGCAUAAGGAGUAUAACGGAAAAGUAUGUUAUUUUUUUCUGCGCAAGGAACGUAAAGAAUUUUCAAAACAAUAUAUCACUUUUUUGUGUAUCCACUUCAUUCAUCUGGGAAAAUUAUUAAAGAUUCAAAAAAAUAUAUAGUACGGUUGAAAACGGUACUGACCCAUCUUGCCCCCUGACCCAUCUUGCCCCCACAUACCAUACACCUUAAUUGAACAUAACCGCUUGUCAAGCUUUAUUUCCGGCAUCAUUAUGAAAGCAUCACGAAAAAAAAAUACCCUCCCCCUGGAUAUUCGAUCUUGACGCGAUUAGCACUUUAGCGCCAGUUUAUUCACCAUCGCUUGGACUUCAGCUAGAUAUAUCUGGUUUACGAGUUGAUCGCAAGUGAAGGAAUCGGCCGUAAGUUAUGUGAUCAUACCCUUUGCUAGGAUUCGCUGGCGUUAUUAGUUUUAAGUUAGCCUGGGCCCUGUAGCAUAAUCGGGCUAAUAAUAUUAGCUACAAGUUACAAGUACUAAUAUUACAAGUGCUAAUAAUUUGUGUUGCAUAAAGGCUCAAUAGGAUACUGCAAGAUGACGUCACGAAGCCGUGCACUGACAGUUCAGCGAGCUUGUUUACAUGGACUUAGUCUCUGGCGGAGAUCCGGCAAAACUGUUUUUCGAUACAAUUUCAGUGAAACGGUAAUUAGACGAUUGAUUUUGUACUAGUAGAGUUGAAUAUAAUAGAUAUUUCCGUAUCAUAAUGGUUUCGGGACGGAAAACGAAAAUUUAAUUUUCGCCGCUCGUUAAAAAUUCUAACACCUUGUAAACAAGCUCGCUGAACUGUCAGACAAAGUGAGGUUAGAUCAGGUGCUUGCAGUACCCUAUAUUCCACUAAUAUUAUUAGCACUUGUAAAUAUUAUGUCGAAUUCGUUUUUGAUUCAGUUCCAACCUGGGUUGGAACUGGAUGAGAUCACAGUUUCAACCCCAACCCGACUUCGGUUUCGCUUGUACUAAAGUUUGUUUGAGUUUGUUUGACGUUUGUUUGUUUACACAUUUUCCGCCAAUCCAGUUCCAACCCAGGUUCAAAAACGAAUUCGACAUUAGGGCUUGUUCACAAAUGUCAUAACGCUCGAGGGGGUGGGUGGGUGUCCUUCGUGGUGUUACAGCCCGAACAAAUUAUUUUUCUUUCCAUACAAACAGUGUUACGAAGGGGUGGGUGGGUGUCAAAAUAGGUCAAUUUUGGCGUUAUGAUAUUUGUGAAUGAACCCUUAGUGACCAUGAAAAUACAAGUUGUUUUGGUUCAUUUACCUGUCAAAAUUCAUCCGACAGUUUACUAUUAAUUUGAAAUGGCAGUUGAUGUUUGUUUAUAUUCUGCAUUUUCCGCGUAACAUCCGGAAAUAACUUCAUUUAUUCCGAAGUUUUGGAUUCUUUAUACACUGAAAUAAAUUUUGUUGUGAAAACUACCGAUUCCAUAGUAAAAUUACUAACCGUACCUAUGAUUCUCAACCGACAACAAUUUCCAGUUAAUUCCACUAAAACACUGUCAACUGAACUAGCAGUGCAGUUAACAUUACCAAAAAUAAUCUUAAUUUAACAAAUGAGCAUUGUAUUUUUAACCAUACUGUGUUGUAAAAUGCGUGUCCAGGAAAAAUUAACAAUGAUUUGUUGUUAAGACGACUACGCUUUUAGUUGAGUUUACUACAAUGCAUUGUAAUUCCAAGCAUAUUUUAGUUACCUUAACAGUUUUUGUUGUCGGUUGAGAAUCAUAGGUACGGUUAGUAAUUUUACUAUGGAAUCGGUAAUUUCAACAACAAAAUUUAUUUCAGUGUACGAUAGAUGAAGAAAAGCAUGUGCUGUUUGGAUAAUUUUCGGCCGCUCUGACGAUAUAUUUUUUUACAAAGUAUGACACUGCAAGUACCUAGAUUUUUAGUAAAAUGUUCCAAAGAUUUAAUAGUACUGGUUGAAAAACAAUGUAUAAAGAUUUAGCAACAUGUAUUAUGCUUCUUGCUAAAAUCCGUAGUGAUCUUUGAUGCAAAAAAUUGAGCUUUUACCUACUUUUAUAUGUCGCAACUCGAUUCGAGUUAGUGUAUGUAUAUUGUAGCUCUUGGUUCGCUUAAUGAUGCGCAGUACAAGCAAUUGAUUCAAAUUUAUUUCGCAUCUGCAACUUCACCUGUGCUUAUGCAGUGACCAUAAUAUAUAACUUUACCAAGAACCUCCAAUCAAAGAUUCCCUGGCCAAGUUCGCAGGGGUUGACGGUAUUAAAGUGAAGGAGUUUCAUUUUGAUUAUUGUAAUGUAGUGUUCUUUAGUGAAACAUAUCACCUUUUUAACACUUAAAUGCGCCUCCAACGGUUCAUCACGAACCGGCUGCUGCAGAUGGAGUAUGGCUGAUCAUGUGCAUCAGACAUGCUCGAUAAACUCGGAGGAACCGCCACGGCUCAGUAGAGUCUAUUACUAAGCAAUAGUUCAAAGUCGGUUGGAUUUGAGAAGGUUUUGAUGAUCGUUACAAAUCCUAAUAAAAGUAUUAUAAGAUUUGUGACAGGUUUUGGAACCUUUUACAGCCAGCUGACUUCAAAAUGUUGUUUGGGCUCUAUUUCUCACGUUUCUCGGUUGAUUUUGAUUAGUAAUUUAUUAAUGUCAUAGUCGCUUUUUCGAUUUUUUACCAUGUUAGUUGGUCAUAUUUUCUAUAAAUAAUGCAAUUAAAAUCAACCGACGAAUUAAUAGUGGGAAGGAGAUUUGCAGCACUUAAUUGUGCUGAUAGAUUCGAAGCUAACGUGCGAACAUUUAAACGCAUUGUUGACAUCAAUGCGUUCGACGUGACAUUUUGGACAAAAGCUGACUACUUUUUAUUAACUGAACAACGUUACUUUUGUAUGACUAGGUUGACAUUUCUAGGCCACGCAUGAGAAAAUGACAUAGUUUAUCGAGGUAGGACCGAUAGGACAGAACGAAUUUGAAUAUUUUUCAUAGUAUUUGUAGGGGGUUGAAUACAUAAUACCCAGUCAACACACGAUCGCAUAUGAUGUUGGAUAGGAUGCAAAAGUGGAGGCGAUAUACGCACACUUUACACGCGGUUAAAUGGAAGCAGGUACGCAUAUGGCCUCCACUUUUGCAUCCUAUUCAACAUCAUAUGCGAUCGUGUGUUGAAUGGGUAGUUGACAAGCAAUUUUUGUUUUAUUACAAUCAACUGACCAACUUGGCGUAUUUUUGUUUAUCUCUUAGAUGGUGUUAUGACACCAACAGAAAAAUAUCAGGAGUUCAGUUACAUGUUUCUGUGGGUUUUUCACCGAUGACAAUUUAAGGACACAAGAGAUGAACACAGAGAAGUAGAAAUCAAGAAAACAAUUUGACACAGAAUCGACUAUAUUUUAACAUACGGGUUCGACUGAUUCGAUGAAUCUAUCUAGAAGGAUCUAGAAGACAAUUGACGCUAAGAUUGGAAAAAAAGCUUGCAGUUGGGACUAGACUAAAAUAGUGGCCGAUAGGAAACAAUGCGCCAGACAGCAUUAUUAUUCAUUUUUUAAUAUUUACCCGUAGGCUUUUCGCCGGUUGACAGUACAGUAUUUACCUGUGUGCGAAGAUAUGGAUUAGUUGAUGUACAGAUGACAGGGUUCUCACGGGAAGUGCUUCAAGCGAGGCUUACAUAACAACUGACAAUAAAGAAACCUAUUUUCCUUGACUUUCUACGCAAUUGACAUCCGACCGAACACACGUGUUUCCGUUAAUCUCCUAGGCAUUAUUAAGACAUGACGUAUCUGCAUGACGGAACAACUAGCAGGUUACAGUUCCAGACGUCUCUUUUUAUUAACGACAUUCAGCAUAUUUCCAAUAAAACUACACUUCAAUAAAGCAAAGAUUAAAGCUGCUAUGAUAAAACAAAUCAGAAUUACUUAAUUGACUAUUACCUUGGAGAUCUACUUCGAAUAACUGACAAAUUGACAAGACCAUACUACAACAAACCAAUUGACAUAAAGAAAAAAAGGGGAAACUUUUAUCAAAACUAUUUUUGUUCAACGCAGGCCAAAACAGUGUCGACUUGGGCCACGCAUGCCUACGUACUUCUGUGUGCUGAAACAAAAAUAGAGGCUCUUAGAAGCAAAUGUAGGGAAAGGGUGCGGUGUAGAACAUAAGCACAGUGUUGCUACCGCCGUAAUCACUUUGAAAAAAAAAAAAAAAAAAAACCAAGAA